GACGUAGGGCGCGAGCGUUGUCCGGAUUUAUUGGGCGUAAAGAGCUCGUAGGCGGCUUGUCGCGUCGACUGUGAAAACCCGCGGCUCAACUGUGGGCUUGCAGUCGAUACGGGCAGGCUGGAGUUCGGUAGGGGAGACUGGAAUUCCUGGUGUAGCGGUGAAAUGCGCAGAUAUCAGGAGGAACACCGGUGGCGAAGGCGGCUAUCUGGCUCACAACUGACGAUCAGGCACGAAGACGUGGGGAGCAAACAGG
rnacentral:rRNA from 1 species